GCCAACGUAGCUCAGACGGUAGAGCAACGGUUUCGUAAACCGUAGGUCAGGGGUUCGAUCCCCCUCGUUGGCU
rnacentral:tRNA from 1 species